rfam:Gossypium raimondii Chr08_contig_1321, whole genome shotgun sequence.
UGUUAAAAAUUUCAUCCAUUUGUACUAUUAAAAAUUAGCGUGGCUGAUGGAAUAACCAGACGUGUACCUUAUGUAUAGGGACCAGUUUUUAAUAGUAGAAACGGAUGGAAUUUUUAACA